UGACACUCUCUACGCCAUUUAUAGAAAACCGUGCUCAGGCGGCACAACCACGUUCAACCACCUUUCUGUUGUUUUGUUCUUUGGGUUAGCAGUUCUUCUUGCUCUUUUCUUUUAUGUGUUUUCCAUCUGAUGCUAACGGCCGUAGCUCGAGCUGCUCCGCAGCCUCAACGCUGUUUCUACUCCUUCUUCGACCCGUGGGCCAAGGGGCGCCGUGCCUAGUUUUUCUAUUACGUUCGUCUACUCCUACAACCGUUUUAACGUGACCGACACGGACAAAAUCAAAGCUCUCGGGAACUUAACAAAGACGUUCUAAACUAACUGGCGAGUAUGUUUUAAUGAGAAGUUUCACCACGUUUCUGUGACUUAAGGAAGGUGGAUUUCGUUACACACUUCUCCAUGUCGAGAAAACUGAAGGAUUGACUCUAACAGUUGUUCCACGGUCUAGAGCCACCGCCACUUAGAACACCUCUACUUUCUCCUAAUGGGUCUUCUUCCUUUAAAAGUUUACCUUCGCUGGGUCUCUUACUCCUCGGGGCUAGAUCGUUUUACGGGUAUUCUUCGAACUUGUGAUCAGGGUCUCCUGCUCCGUCUCCAGCUCCUUCUCCCGCUCCCGCCGGAGGUUGGUUCUCUUUCCUUUAACCAAUACAUGUCAAACUCCUACUCUCGUCGUACAAACGACUUGUUUCACUUGGGAACGGUCCUCUACUCUAUCAAGGUCUCUGGUUGGCACCGUUACUCUAAUAAGGGGUUUCGAGUGUAGGAGAUCACCUCCGAGGUAGCCAGCACUGCGGUCGACACUAAAGUUUCCAACUUUUUCGGUGGUUGGUAGUCGGUCUAAACGGAUACGGUCUACGGUAACCUCCGUAACCACAACCUGGCAGGUCAAAACCUGUAGACUGUCACGUCCAACUACUCCUUCUCCUGAUGCUAUUACUCCUAAUCCGUAUCGGUAGGAGAGUAAGUAGUAUACGAGAUUGUCCUGUCAAGAGGACCACAACAUGUAACAUUUAUAACAAAGUUCAUCAAUGGCGUCGAUACUACACAUUGGAUAAAGAAAAAGGGUUAUUAACCAAAGCUCAACGGAGCGUAACAACUGAAUUGACUGAUCCUACACGAUUUGAAUUGGAACAUAAACUGCCAACUUCGUCACUAUAAGACAGCAGGACAAUGUAACAUGUACAAGAUUGGUCGUCAUUGAAAAAG
rnacentral:rRNA from 1 species